CUUCGGGAGAAGGUGGAGUAAAAUAAAUACGUGCCUGCUUCUAGGUAUACGCAUGCAUAUGAAUGAUUUAAAGUACACUUUAAAAUUAUCUAUGCACCAGUUGGACUUUCGAAUGGAUAGUUCUCAAAAAUAUGCAAGAUAGCUGACUUCCGCUUUCGACAGCGGCAAAGGGUGCAACAGCUGGUGUCCGCACGGUGGCAUGUCAAUGCAGCUGACCCCUUAGUGUGGGUGUAAACGUAAAUGGUUCGAGUGCUGGUUGACACUUCACACAAUUACACACUGGACGGUUAGUGUUAGUCGCUGGCCGAUCGGAUUAUUGCGCAUGCUCAAAACAAUAAAAUCGCAUACCAACGCUUCGCAUGAAUAGUCCAACUAAUUUUGUAAAGAAUGGACGCCAAGUGAGGAAGGAUGAAGUGAAUUAAAUAUUUGAACAGUCCACCACUUAAGGAUACAAUAGGAACGACAAUGUGACAAGCCAUCGAGUGGCGAAUAAUGGCACAAAACACUCCGCAUAUGUCCUGACGGUGGCAGCAGUGCGCUCAAAAUUUAAAAAGGCUCACGACACAGCGGCCUGCGUGUAUGUGUAUGAGUGAGUGCCGUUCCAAUUGUGCCGCCGUGUUUAAUAGGCAAUAUUUAAUUGGCUGUAAGGGACACUGUAGUUGUACAAAACGGCUUCUCGCCCCGAGAGUUGCGAUUCUGCUGAAACUUUAUUGUACAAACAUACAUACAUAUGUACAUACGAAGUUAUAUACAUACAUGUUCAUACAUUUCCACUUAAUUAAUGAGUCCGAUGAUGACGAUGACAUUUUGGUUUAUUUUAUUUCGCUAUGUCCUUCUUCGACACGGAACUGGAGGCGAGGGACAGCUGGUUGCUCGAUUUGACUCACCUACUUUACUCUAUAUGUUCGCCGUGUUGCUGCAACUCGAGGCCCUUCAGAUGUCCUUUGUUUACCUGCUUCUAUUGCUCACUCAAUUAUUGCUGGCGGAGGGUUGCUGGGAUACGAGUAUGCUUUAAAUUGUAAAUUAAUGACUUUUCGGCUGCCAAGUCGCUUGUUCUUGCUCACUUUUGUUCGUCUCCAUUGUGUGGUGUACACAUGUACAAGAGCAUAAAUGCAUACCAAAUACUGCAUGCUUGUAGAGACGCAGCUCUGUUUUUGUAUACGUUCGAGGUUUAACAAUUUUGUUUACUUCGAUGAAAUUGGUUUCGCACUCUCAAUUGCCAUAAAAGCCGCAACGAAACAAACAAAAUAAACUCAUAAUAGAAGAAAAAGAAAGGAAAUCGCUGCUACAAAUUUUCCCAAUGACUGCGCCCUUUGUACAAUAUAUGGGUAUCAAUGCAACGCCGUGGCUGCUGCCGGCGAAGGAUAAUAAUAAAAUUAGCCAAUAGAUCGGCAAAGGUGUAAAAAACGCGCUCAGGUGUCCUAAACCGAGCUAAUGGCUCUUCUAUUGGUUGGCUACACACACACGCCAACAUACACAGGGAUUUGGAACAAUACGGUCGAAAAAAAUCUGGAACAAUUACGAAUGUUCGGGGCUCGAGUACCGAACAAUGGCGUGCGAAUUCCAGAUAAUUGAGAAGUCAAAACGAAAUCAUUGUCCAACGUUUUUGGCACAAAAGAGAACAAUAAACGACAAUUGCAUGGGGAAACAACAAUUAAAUUGAACAAUUACACAGAGUACUUAACUAAAGUGAGACUUUUUAGCUUUUGAAUUAUAAUUGAUAUUUAAUUGAAUGACAAAGGUUUCCCUGUUUUUAUUUUGAAUUGAACUUCUCCAAAUCGAAAUCAAGAAGAAGAAGUAGAAAGCAGGGACUCCAUUAUUCGAAAUUCGUUAGAAUACACACAGAAAGUUAUGAAGUAUAAGAGUUUAAAGGAUUUUUUUAGAGGUUUGACCUCUUGAAAGUGGUUCAUACAAAAAUUCAUCAACGAAAAAAAUUAAUUUUCAAAACUUAAACCCAAACAUGAUAUAUAUAAGUACACAUGUAAAUAUAUAGACAUCGCGAAAGUUAAACCAAUGGGAAACUGUAGCGUUCUUAAGACCGGUCAUCAUUUAUCCAUUAAAACUCCCAGUGAAAAUCAAAUGGUUUUUCACCAGCGCAAGCGAAAAUUUUUACCACUCAAGUAUUUGUGAAAAACUGAAAGCGAACACUUCCUCGGUGAAUGUUUCGCCUUCAGCUGUUUGAGGCGAGCUGUCCGUUUCGCCGUCAAUGCUCCCAUUUAAAAGAUAUUGGGCAGCUAGUGUGGAAAAAACUGAGAUUUGUCAAUAUGUAAGCCCUUUGAGUUCUGAAAUUGAGCUUAAUUGGUUAUCACUUGCGAGCAAAAUGUGCUUAAUGAUGGUUUGAAUUAGGUCGCGGUAAGGAGCUCCUGCGCCUCACAUUUCAACCAACCCACUAACCAACCGAGUGAUUCCUCGGUACUUUAGUGAUAUGUUAAACAGCCGCCAUUCUGGAAGUGUUAACUUCAUUAACUGGAACCACUUUUCCAUACUUUCUUGCCAAUAAAAUUGGCAAUAACAACAACAAACACAAUGGAUAUUAGCAAAUGUGGUCUACUGGCACCAAUGAUGCAGCAGCAUGCUGCGCCCAGCAGCGGUGCACCGCCAUUCGCCCCACUUGCAUCACUCACGCCCGCUUCCCUCAAGUUAUUGGCUCGUGUGCAGCACAUGCAAAUAUGACUAAGCAAUAAGAGAAGUAAUAAAAACGAAAAACUAGGCGUUUAUUCAUAAUUUUUGCUCGGCGUUGCAAGAAAUCGCUACAACUUAAUUCACAGCGUGAAAUGCCAUAAAAGUGUCUUAAACUUAUGUUAAUAAUUUCCCAUUGAGUAGUGGGCAACAUGUGAAAGCAGCAAUGCAAGUAAAACGUGGUGCGGAGAUGCGCACCAAAAUUACGCCAGUGCAAAGGAAUCCUCGGCCAAAUGCAGCAAUAACGCAACGAACAGCGACAAUGUGACUAAAGGUGCUGGCAAACAGAUUUCACGCUGUGCUGAUUUUAAGUUUGCGUUAUGAUUGCAAGCUGACACCUCACGCCAGCCACGGCACGCUGCAUGUCCUCAUGCAAAUACCAAAUACAUGGAUGUUGAAGGCAAGCACAUUUGUUAUUGUAAAUCGCAUAUACUACAUUCUUCAUCUUCAUUGCAAGGGGACACAAAGAAAGGUAUUCACAAGCUUCUGGAGAACACAAUUGAAAAUGAUAAUUAGUUUCUAAACCUUUCAGUCCAAAAUCUUAGAGAGUGGUGAAUCGAACCAACAACUGUUGUAAUUUUUUUAAGUUAGGCCUAGUCUAAGAGGCAAAACAACAAGUGUGCGGCUUGCAAUUGGUUGCCUCAAGAGUUUAUUCUUGAUUUGAUUUUCAAGCCAAUGAGAAAUGUAUUUAUAUACCUUAUACACCUCAUACAUUGAUAACAUUUAUGUGUGAACCCUGACUUCCUCUACCUUAGCUCGAGUGCAUUCGAGGUUCCACUAAAUAAGUCUUCCUUUUAUUUUGGUGGACUUUCUUAUUGAGCAAGUGCAGUUCAACAGCUUGACUUUUCGCCGUAAGCGUCAUGGUCGGUCCAUGCAUGAGCUCAGCGGCGUCAAGGAAAAAGUGUUAACUCAUUGAAGGUGUUUAGUCAUGCCGAUAACAAUCUAUAAUUAACUCUCAUUUAAGGCAUUCUGCAGCUGUGUGACUUCAUUAAAGCAGAAACACCUGUGUAUGUGAGUAUUCAUAAGUAUUUAAUAAACAAUUGGAGAUUUCGAAGAUAUUAAGCUUGCUCAGGAAAAUGUGAAGUUAAGUUCACUUUCGGUAUAUUAAUAUACCUGUAGGUAUCAAUUUUCUAAUCUCAAAACUCUGAAACUUUGCUGGCGAAGACUAAAAAGAUUUGCUGCCAACGAGGUCACUGAUUCGGAGACUCAGUACAUGUUCUCCUACAUUUCUAGAGCAUACGUUUUAAGGAGUUCGUAAUUGCAAUAAAUCACAUGGUCCAAGAGGAAGUGCUUGGCCAUGAUUAGCAUCUCAAGCAAGCCUUCAAUUGAGGCGCACAAAUACACUUCUGAGACAUCCAGCAGGGCUUACAAGUUCAUGUCCAAUUGACGCAAAUCAAAAGACUGGUGUAGAUUUUCACGCUUGCAAGGACGCACCAGAUACCAUACGCCAUAUGGGUAUGUGUGCACAAUAAUGAUGGAUGUAAUCGCUUAUGUUGAAUCAGCAACGAUGCAGGGAUGCAUGAAGCAAUAAUAAUAAUAAUCUUAAAGCAUACAUACACUUGCAUAUACAUACAUAUACCUCGCCUACUAUACGCUUGUGGACACAUCCAAGCAACCGUCCAACCAACCACUGCCCAGUUGGCUGGCGAUAAAUAAUGCCUACAACUUAGCGAGAUGUUAUCUUACCAGAUUAAUUCUUUAUUACCGCAAUCUGUUGUUGAUUGCCGGACAGUACGAAUCCUCGCCAAGCGGCCAGGCAUUUAGCGCGAGGGAACACCACAGCUAUGGAGCUCUGAUAAAGGCGGUUCGCGCGGAAUUCGCCAGAUUGCUCAAUUACUCGCUUUUAAAGUCAACGGAAAUAUGAAAUAAUGAAUACAAACUGCGGGCCAGUGCUCGUGUCAAGCAUGUUUAGCCUAUUUAAACGUCACAAUGUUCCUAAAAUGUUAUCAACAACGUCAUUUCUCAAUCAGAAGCGCCCUUCCUCUCGUCUUCUCACACACACCUUCAUAAAUAAACACCAGCAUUAUUCCCAAGCUGAUAAUCGACAUUACCAACAACACACAGCUGCUGCAGAAGAGAUCUCUGCACUCUCACAUUCUCCCCUCUGUUAUCAUGGAUGCUUAGCUGCUGAUGCUUAUGAGCGAAUGUGUGCUCCCCAAUCAUUAAAAUAUGAUAAAUUGCAUCUAUUUUAUGGGGAUGAUUUUAACAAGACAAUUUAACAAGCGUAAUUUAAUAUUUCACUCCUUCUUUUUUACACGCUGUUCGCACCACAUACUCGUAUUUGUAUAUUUUCUGAUUUUCGGAUGCAAGUUGGCGCGCACUGGCGCACUGGCUGCCCCAGAGCCACAUCAAUAAUGUUGUAAGUAGAUAAUGGCAAGAAAAAUAAGAAGAGGAAGACAAACACAGCCGUUCGGAUGGAUUUGGUAUGUUCUUACUGAGGGCAGAAGGUGGUUGGUAAAUCAGCGAUGCCGAUGUCUGUCGUAUCUGUUGUUAUUAAACGAAAAACGAAUCGCACCCGAGGGAACACUUAGUGUGAUACGCACUUUCAUUCAUAUUAUGUAAUAAAGUAAAUAAUAUGCACAUCAAAAUCCACAUGAUAUACCAUAUAUAAAAUAUAGUAUAUAAAUACGAUUCUCUUAAUAUAGAAAUACCUUCGGUGCCCCUGCUGGCCGUUGAAAGGCUAUGUAUAAUGGUGGAUGAACCAAAAUAUUUAGAUUAUUCAGGAACUCUCACAAACACCGAUAAAAGCCUUAUACUUUAUGGAUGGUUUAUUCUUUUGGAAAGAAAUCGAAAAUGCAAAACAAAGACAUACAAUGCCAAAUCCACGAGCGGGAUUGCAAGUCAUGACCCAUAGAGGCACUAAACGAAGUCAGCUGAAGCGAUUUGCUAAUCCGCGAAAUAUUGAACUCAGGCCCCCUCCACUGUUUUCUGAUUUAUGUAUGUGUGUGUAUGGAGUUUGCUUUAUUGCUUUACUUGUAACCGAAGUUGUGCUCUACUUACAUUACAAAUUGCGAAAACAGCAAUGUGAGAACCGCAAUCAACUUCAGUUACUGAUAUAUAUAUAGAAACCGUUCAGCACCCCUUCAGGGUUUAUGAAAGUGUUUAGCAUUAGAAUAAAAUGAACGGAGAAGAGUAUGGUGCGAACUUCAGUAGUUUAGAACAGUUUGUUUAAGGGGUGAGAGUGAGUGAGUGUAAGCUGAAGAUUUUAUUGAUGAGAAUGCUUCGAGAUAUAUAAGAUGGGAAGCUCUUAAGGGAGGAGCCUGCUUUAGAAGCUUCAAAAAAUCGAUUUUUUUUUUGCUAAAUCUCUUUAAAAAUAUCUAAGAAUAUGUCCCCAAAGUAUAAGAAUUCGAAAUAUUUUCGAAGCUAGAAGGGAAAUAGUGACCGAGCGUCUAGCAGAUAUAUUAGUGCUUGGGCAGAAAGCGAAAACUUCGACACGCGAUUUAUCGGUUAUUCAUUUUUACGAUUUUCCUUAAUUGGCGGGCAGGAUAGAAAAAACUAAACGUCAUAUGGAAUUAGGGCAAAGUUUAUUAUCUUUGGCAUUAAAUUGUCUUCUAUUUAAAAAAGGAAUAGUCAAGUUUGAACAUAUUUUUAAACAACAUAAAGUAUACUUUUUUUCAAAAAACACUUUUUUUAAUUUUUAAAAAAUUUGUAAAAUUUUACACUUUUUUGAAAUUAUUAAAAAACAUGAAUCUCUUUGAAUUUUUUUUUUCCGAUAGAAAUUGUGAACUUCGUCCUGCCCGCCGUCCGACAAAUGCACAUGCGAGAUGCAUCAGGCAAUUGCUUUCCAAAGGCAAACUAUCAAAAAUUUCGUAUCCAAAAAAUGUGUGAAUGAUGUUUAAAUAUAUA